rnacentral:piRNA from 1 species
ACAGCUUUGAAGGGGGGAAGACAG